GUGAGGAAUAUUGCGCAAUGGGGGCAACCCUGACGCAGCAACGCCGCGUGAGUGAGGAAGGUUUUCGGACCGUAAAGCUCUGUCGAGCGGGAAGAAAUGCAUCAUGGCUAAUAUCCAUGAUACUUGACGGUACCGCUAGAGGAAGCACCGGCUAACUCCGUGCCAGCAGCCGCGGUAAUACGGGGGGUGCAAGCGUUGUUCGGAAUCAUUGGGCGUAAAGAGCGUGUAGGCGGUUGGACAAGUCAGAUGUGAAAGCCCUGGGCUCAACCCAGGAAGUGCAUUUGAAACUGUUCAGCUAGAGUAAGGGAGAGGAAAGUGGAAUUCCUGGUGUAGAGGUGAAAUUCGUAGAUAUCAGGAGGAACACCGGUGGCGAAGGCGACUUUCUGGCCCUAUACUGACGCUGAGACGCGAGAGCGUGGGUAGCAAACAGGAUUAGAAACCCUAGUAGUCC
rnacentral:rRNA from 1 species